AUUGAACGCUGGCGGCAGGCUUAACACAUGCAAGUCGAGCGGGGACUUCGGUCCUAGCGGCGAACGGGUGAGGAAUGCUUGGGAAUCUGCCCAGUAGCGGGGGAUAACGUUUCGAAAGGAACGCUAAUACCGCAUACGCCCUACGGGGGAAAGGGGGGGAUCUUCGGACCUCUCACUAUUGGAUGAGCCCAAGUCGGAUUAGCUAGUUGGUGAGGUAAAGGCUCACCAAGGCGACGAUCCGUAGCUGGUCUGAGAGGAUGAUCAGCCACACUGGAACUGAGACACGGUCCAGACUCCUACGGGAGGCAGCAGUGGGGAAUAUUGGACAAUGGGCGAAAGCCUGAUCCAGCCAUGCCGCGUGUGUGAAGGAGGCCUUCGGGUUGUAAAGCACUUUAAGCGAGGAGGAAUGGCUCCGGGUUAAUACCCUUGAGCAUAGACGUUACUCGCAGAAUAAGCACCGGCUAACUCUGUGCCAGCAGCCGCCGCCG
rnacentral:rRNA from 1 species